GUGUAUGGCCAUACCACCCUGAACACACCCGAUCUCAUAAGCUAAGCAGGGUCAGACCUGGCUAGUACUUGGAUGGGAGACCUCUCCUAGCCACCAAAUGGAAGAUGGAUUUU
rnacentral:rRNA from 1 species